rnacentral:rRNA from 1 species
CACGUAGGGCGCAAGCGUUGUCCGGAAUUAUUGGGCGUAAAGAGCUCGUAGGCGGUCUGUUACGUCUGCUGUGAAAACCCAGGGCUUAACCCUGGGCUUGCAGUGGAUACGGGCAGACUAGAGGCAGGUAGGGGAGAAUGGAAUUCCCGGUGUAGCGGUGAAAUGCGCAGAUAUCAGGAGGAACACCAAUGGCGAAGGCAGCUCGCUGGGACGUGACUGACGCUGAGACGCGAAAGCGUGGGGAGCAAACAGG